rnacentral:rRNA from 1 species
AUUGAACGCUGGCGGCAUGCCUAACACAUGCAAGUCGAACGGCAGCACAAUAAAGAUUUCGGUCUUUAUGGGUGGCGAGUGGCGGACGGGUGAGUAACGCGUAGGAAUCUGUCCUGGAGAGUGGGAUAAUCCGAGGAAACUCGGGCUAAUACUGCAUGACAUUGAGAGAUCAAAAGCAGGGGACCGAAAGGCCUUGCGCUCUGGGGUGAGCCUACGUCGGAUUAGCUAGUUGGUGGGGUAAAGGCCUACCAAGGCGACGAUCCGUAGCUGGGCUGAGAGGAUGACCAGCCACACUGGGACUGAGACACGGCACAGACUCCUACGGGAGGCAGCAGUGGGGAAUCUUGGACAAUGGGGGAAACCCUGAUCCAGCGAUGCCGCGUGUGUGAAGAAGGCCUUCGGGUUGUAAAGCACUUUAGGUGGGGAAGAAAGGUAGCGAGUGAAUAACUUUCUGCUGUGACGGUACCCACAGAAUAAGCACCGGCUAACUCUGUGCCAGCCGCCGCCGUAA